CGGGGUGUGGCCCAGUAGUCUAAGGCGCACGGUUCGGGACCGUGAGAUCGAGGGUGCGAAUCCCUCCACCCCGACCA
rnacentral:tRNA from 1 species